UCAAGUGUUCUGAGAGAGAACUAGACUUCUGCUCCUCCUCAUGGCUCUGUUUGCUUCAGGCUUUAGAACAUCUAGUCUGUGACGGGAGACCUCCUGCUGUGACAGGUCAAAAUCUGUAUCUGGUCAUGUCCCCUCCAGACCAGCAGGGGGCGGCAAACAGGUUUUCAGGUGGAGGAAAGUUCCUGCAGCUCAAACAACAUUUCAAGAUACAAGAAGAGUCAAACUUCAGAUACCAGCUGCUGCAGCUCCUCCUCUUCAUCAUGACAUCAUCUUCUUCUUCUUUAGCAGCAGGUGACACAUUAUAACCCCCCUCCGGUGACAUCAUCCAUCUGACCUCUGACCCCUCUGAAUACAGAGACCCCCCCACCAACACACACACACACACACACACACACACACACGGGGGUCUUUCUUUCUCUCUUUGUCACAUCACAGUUUAACUGGCUGGUUUUCUUUCUGAAUGAAGUCGUCGGCUGCAGUGAAGAUGUUUUAAUCCCGUCACACGUUUCAAUAGAAAAUAAUCAGUCUAAAGAUAAUAAAACAUAUAAAACAGACUGCAGGACAGAAGAUAAAUGAAAUUAACUUUAUACCCACAGCAUCACAUCUGUUGCUAUAAAUACUCUUAUUAUAAAGGACGUUAUCCACUUUUAACAAGUGACAUUUUAUUGUGUUUUAAUGUAUUUUAGUUCAUUGAAAAAAUCUAUCUGCAAUCGAU